UUUUUUUAUUUUUAUUUUUUUGUUUACCAUUCAAAAAGGGCAGUUUAAUUGUAAUUUUAAGAAUAGAUGUUUAAACAGUGCUGAAAACACUGAAAUUGAUUUAGCGGAUAAAAAUCCCACUGAAAAUCUGUUAGGAAAACCAAUUCAGUUGCGCUUCGAUGCUUUUCGAAAACGAAAAUUAAAAAUUGUGAAAGUUCCAAUGUCACAAUCUACUAGAAAGUCAUAGGUAAAGUUUCUCUUGCACUUCUCCUUUACGUUAGGUACAGGACCUCAAUAUGAAGGCAUGUGGAGUCAUACGGUUCCCACCCAUGGCUUUCUUUGCGAGACAAAAUCAGAAGAGAGAAAUCAGUGAAUUUUAAGAAUAGCAACUUAAACGUGGAUUGGUUGGAAGCUACACUGGAAAACCACCAGAAAAGAAAAUUCAAGCAAAUAAAGCAACCACCUUAGAGGAAGACAAAAUAACAACUGAUGCUGCCAGAAUCGCAGUCCUAUUUGCUGUGGAAAAAGCUUAAAGAAACGUAAAGGGCUAAAACCAAUUAAAAACCAGUGUAAAGAAAAAAGACUCGGUGAGGCACCUUUAAAAGCUAGAAAAGACCAAAUAAAAAAAAGGGGCCUCAAAAAGAAACUGAUGCAGCCCUAGAAACAGCCGAAGCUGCAGAAACAAACUCUGUGGAAUUAUUUGACGAUGGAGAGAUUGAACCAAUAUGCCAGUUGUUGGCGUAAAGAAAAUGACAUAGAAAAUCACCUGCAAGAGUUAUGAAAAAUACAAACGUUUAUCUCAAAAACUAAAAAAGGCCAAGAAAAAAGAUUAUUAUAAAACAAUUCAUAGAAACGUUAGCUCAAACACAAUCUCCUAGUAAACGGAACUGAUGCUCCAUUGCAAAUAGUCCAACCUGCCGAAACAAACUUGCAGCAGAGACAGAGUCUGGUUCCAUUUCAGCAUGCAUCAUCUUCAUACAUUUUUUCAUUAAAUAGGGACCGCCCGCGUUUCAAAUUAUUGAAACAGCAACUAUGAAAUCUACUUGCAGUGUACCGGAUAUCCAACAACGAUUAGUGACCUUUAAAUAAAUGCACUACAGCAUUUUUCUAGUAUUGUUUUCAACCUGUUUGAAAUUUGAACCAACAACACUCGUUUUGAAAUUAAAAGAAACAAUAGACAAAUAAAGCAUGAUACAUAAUCUA